AAAAUACGAACCAAUGAAAGAGCGGUAUGUGCCGGUACCGAAGGACUGUCUCGUCGCUAUUUCCGGUUAACCCACCGCCGCGCGGGUACGCGCUGAACACGCACGCACCAAGCGCGGUAUGGUUGGAUACGUGUCACACAUGCCGCACGCGGCGUCAUUCACGCAAAAACCGCCGGAAAGCGCGGACAUCGCUCGGUUCGUAGCGCGCGGAAGGACAAACAACCAUUUCUCUGGUGCCGCAUGAGUGUCCCACUAACCACGAACCACCAGCAACGGGGUGGUGGAGGGGUGCCCAACGACAACGAAGCCGCCCGAAUCCCGCCUGUAGGCUCGUUAGCUGAUUGUUGCGGAGGUACAACGAGGGCCUGAAGGCCGUACCGGCUACAACGAGGGCCUGAAGGCCGUACCGCCGGAGGUGAGACCAUCGUGGAUACCAAAUCGUGGAUACCAAAUCGUGGUACCAAAUAACCGGGAUCUUAACCCCAAACAACACCCUCAGACGCACAAAUUCCAAACGUCACUUCCCAAAUUCACCAUCGGCAAGGUACGCGGCCGUGGCACCUACGAAGACGCCGGAAGACAGUUAUUAAAUUUGUACAGUAUUGUCAUAAGUAUUCGUGAGUCCGAGAGCCUGUUCGAGGCGUUCGCUGCACACAUGCUCGCGCGCGAUAGUUUCGUCUUCUUGUCAGGUUUUCACAGAAGACAUGACCGUUAAGAAAGAGCCUUCGUCCAGCCCUCAUCGACGGAGGCUAUGCCGACCCCCUGGCGUCGGUCACCAUAAAUCAGUGCUUUGAAAAACCCCACCACACCACCGCAACAAUCGCCCCCUGGUAGGACCUGGAGAGCUUUUAUUAUUUUAUAUUCUACCUUCGAAGGUACCAAUGAUACCAAGAUACCAAGAUACCAAUGAUACCAAUAACUCUUAAUGACAAUCAGUAAAACCCUUAACCACAAAUAAUAACAUCCUCAACUAUAUCACCGAGGCACUUCCAAAACCACCAACUUUCCCUCGGCGAAAAAUUUUCUCCCGUUCCCUUCGUUCUGAGAGCCGAAUUUGGAAACGUAUUCGCGCAAAAUUCAAACACUCACCGCAA
rnacentral:lncRNA from 1 species